AUUUUUAUGAUACAAAUUAAAGUUAAGGGACAUUACUAAUACAACUUACUAAGUUAAAGGACUAUGAGUGAAAUUAACUCAAAUUAUCCUAUAUACUUUUACCAAUCUAUUAAAUACCUUAACUUUUAGCCCAAUUCAUGCAAAAAAGCCAAACCUUUGUGCGCUUUUAUAUUUUAAUCCUAUCAUUUCAAUUUUAGUAAAAAAAAACCAAAAUUAAAAGGUUUGCAUAAAUUUUAUCCAAAUUUGA
rnacentral:misc_RNA from 1 species